rnacentral:lncRNA from 1 species
CCUGUGCAACAGGGGCAAGUAUCAUUAAGAACAUACUGUUUUGUUUUUUACAGAUAUGUCCAAGCUCAUGGGAAAUGAGUAAAGAACCCAGCAAAGCUCUCCUGGGUUUAAGGAGAGAGACUAACCAUCAGAAAUGCUUAUUGAGGGUUGCUACUUUGGGGCAUGGGAGUGUCACUGGAGGCAGCCCCAAAAGGAAUUCUUCUCUGAGAUGUCAACCACAAUUGAGCAGUGCUUCUGCCCUGCCAGUACACCACUGAGGACAGUUACAGGACUUUGAAUUUCUUUUGGUACCACCAGCUUCUGGGAAGUUCCUUCGAAUAUGUCCUGGAAGCAUUUGGAUCUUCAGGGGAUAAUGAGUUUUGUGAUCACCAGUUUUCUGUGAUGGUCUAUGAAAAUAAAACACCCCCCUUAGAAACAGCAAAUGUUUCUUUCCAAGAUGCUGCAGUUUAUUCUUGUGGUGUGAAACACCACGAUGAGCUAAACCCUGUUUUCACCCAUGCAAAAUCUGCAUCACUAUAAACAGCACUAGAGAACAAGCUCUGCAAAAUCUACGUUGGCGGUGCUUUCAUCCCUGAAAUAAUUCUUUUCUUGACAUAAGAACAGUUCCAACAUCUUCUCCCACCCCAACACCUCUCUGCAUUUCUGUAGAGGUGUUCAGACUAUGGACUACAGGACUGUUUGCAGAUAAACCAACAACACUCAUAUCUUCCCCCAUGUCCCACUUCAAACUGGGGCAGUGCCCCUGGCCAGGCACUUUGGAAGGACGGAGGAUAUUGGUGUCUAUGUCUGUCCUGGACCAGGGGUGCUGGAGUGGUUGGGGAAUGUUACCCCUUCCCCUAUGUGUGCUCAGCUCCUCAUAGCUCCUCGGGUUCUCUUUCUGCAGGGGUGUGAGCAUAACUGAGUUGUUGAGGCUGGUGGUGGCCAAAGAGCACCUGGGGUACUCUAUGCUCCUUUCCUGUCAGAGAUAUGGCUUCACCUUGAUAAAUCAUCACUUUUGGUAGUACCAGCAGGUACUCAGUGGCAGUCUUGAGAGCAUUUCUUAUACCAGCUAUGAUUCUUCAACCAUUCAAUACUUGCUGGGAGUAAAAGACAGAGUCUUCCAAGGACAAUUCUCUGUCCGUGGCAUCUCUUCUUUUGUGUGCUCUGCACCCUGAGGACUCAGCUUGCUACUUUUGCCUGGUUUGCACAGCCAUGGGAAAUCCAACUGGACUUCAACAAAAAUCUGAUUCCAUGCCUUUUGUAAAUGUGCCACAGGAAGUAGCAGUCCUCAGCCUUAGCCUACAAUGCCUCUAGGCGUCGUCUUGAUUUAACCCUGACAGGCAGCUAAUCACUAUAGAGCUCCUUGCUCACUCCUCCCACGAUGGAUGGGGAACACAAUAAAAAAAAUGAAAAGGAAUAGAAUUCUUGGAAAUAAAAAGAGUGCAUGCUGUCAAAGCAAAAUAAACUAAAAUAACUGACUACCC